GACGCAUGCAGGCGGCCUGUUAAGUCAGAUGUGAAAGCCCGGGGCUUAACCUCGGAAUUGCAUUUGAAACUGGCAGGCUAGAGUCUUGUAGAGGGGGGUAGGAAUUUCAGGUGUAGCGGUGAAAUGCGUAGAGAUCUGAAGGAAUACCAGUGGCGAAGGCGGCCCCCUGGACAAAGACUGACGCUCAGAUGCGAAAGCGUGGGGAGCAAACAGGAUUAGAUACCCUGGUAG
rnacentral:rRNA from 1 species